rnacentral:rRNA from 1 species
UACGAUUGACGGAGCGAAGCGACGUCAAAGCGUAUACAAAGUCGAGUCGGUUUAAGGAUACGUUCGUUGGGUAGGGGAGCGUUCUGUAAGCCUGUGAAGGUGGCCUGUGAGGGUUGCUGGAGGUAUCAGAAGUGCGAAUGCUGACAUAAGUAACGAUAAAGCGGGUGAAAAGCCCGCUCGCCGGAAGACCAAGGGUUCCUGUCCAACGUUAAUCGGGGCAGGGUGAGUCGACCCCUAAGGCGAGGCCGAAAGGCGUAGUCGAUGGGAAACGGGUUAAUAUUCCCGUACUUGGUGUUACUGCGAAGGGGGGACGGAGAAGGCUAUGUUGGCCGGGCGACGGUUGUCCCGGUUUAAGCGUGUAGGUGUGUGUUCCAGGUAAAUCCGGUUCACUUUAACACUGAGGCGUGACGACGAGGCACUACGGUGCUGAAGCAACAAAUGCCCUGCUUCCAGGAAAAGCCUCUAAGCAUCAGGUAACAUCAAAUCGUACCCCAAACCGACACAGGUGGUCAGGUAGAGAAUACCAAGGCGCUUGAGAGAACUCGGGUGAAGGAACUAGGCAAAAUGGUGCCGUAACUUCGGGAGAAGGCACGCUGACACGUAGGUGAAGUGAUUUACUCAUGGAGCUGAAGUCAGUCGAAGAUACCAGCUGGCUGCAACUGUUUAUUAAAAACACAGCACUGUGCAAACACGAAAGUGGACGUAUACGGUGUGACGCCUGCCCGGUGCCGGAAGGUUAAUUGAUGGGGUCAGCGCAAGCGAAGCUCCUGAUCGAAGCCCCGGUAAACGGCGGCCGUAACUAUAACGGUCCUAAGGUAGCGAAAUUCCUUGUCGGGUAAGUUCCGACCUGCACGAAUGGCGUAAUGAUGGCCAGGCUGUCUCCACCCGAGACUCAGUGAAAUUGAACUCGCUGUGAAGAUGCAGUGUACCCGCGGCAAGACGGAAAGACCCCGUGAACCUUUACUAUAGCUUGACACUGAACAUUGAGCCUUGAUGUGUAGGAUAGGUGGGAGGCUUUGAAGUGUGGACGCCAGUCUGCAUGGAGCCGACCUUGAAAUACCACCCUUUAAUGUUUGAUGUUCUAACGUGGACCCGUUACCCGGGUUGCGGACAGUGUCUGGUGGGUAGUUUGACUGGGGCGGUCUCCUCCUAAAGAGUAACGGAGGAGCACGAAGGUUGGCUAAUCCUGGUCGGACAUCAGGAGGUUAGUGCAAUGGCAUAAGCCAGCUUGACUGCGAGCGUGACGGCGCGAGCAGGUGCGAAAGCAGGUCAUAGUGAUCCGGUGGUUCUGAAUGGAAGGGCCAUCGCUCAACGGAUAAAAGGUACUCCGGGGAUAACAGGCUGAUACCGCCCAAGAGUUCAUAUCGACGGCGGUGUUUGGCACCUCGAUGUCGGCUCAUCACAUCCUGGGGCUGAAGUAGGUCCCAAGGGUAUGGCUGUUCGCCAUUUAAAGUGGUACGCGAGCUGGGUUUAGAACGUCGUGAGACAGUUCGGUCCCUAUCUGCCGUGGGCGCUGGAGAACUGAGGGGGGCUGCUCCUAGUACGAGAGGACCGGAGUGGACGCAUCACUGGUGUUCGGGUUGUCAUGCCAAUGGCACUGCCCGGUAGCUAAAUGCGGAAGAGAUAAGUGCUGAAAGCAUCUAAGCACGAAACUUGCCCCGA